AGAGUUUGAUCAUGGCUCAGAGCGAACGCUGGCGGCAGGCCUAACACAUGCAAGUCGAACGGUCUUUCGGGACAGUGGCGGACGGGUGAGUAACACGUGGGAACGUACCUUUUGGUUCGGAAUAGCUCCUGGAAACGGGUGGUAAUACCGGAUGUGCCCUUAGGGGGAAAGAUUUAUCGCCAUUAGAGCGGCCCGCGUCUGAUUAGCUAGUUGGUGGGGUAAAGGCCCACCAAGGCUUCGAUCAGUAGCUGGUUUGAGAGGAUGAUCAGCCACACUGGGACUGAGACACGGCCCAGACUCCUACGGGAGGCAGCAGUGGGGAAUCUUGCGCAAUGGGCGAAAGCCUGACGCAGCCAUGCCGCGUGAAUGAUGAAGGUCUUAGGAUUGUAAAAUUCUUUCAGUAGGGACGAUAAUGACGGUACCUACAGAAGAAGCCCCGGCUAACUUCGUGCCAGCCGCCGCGGUAAUUC
rnacentral:rRNA from 1 species